UGGGGGUCGAAUUGAAGCAUUGAGGCAUUUCAUAUGCAUGAUUGUCCAAAUAUAAACAUAAGCUCAUAAAUAUACUAUGGAUGGAUGGAGAUGAGGAAGAUAGGAUGGUGUGGAUGAGAGAAAGGUAUUGUCUGAAUGUUACGCGCAACCCUAGAAAAGGGCAAUCGAACCCGCCUCUCCCUGUCCUCUAUCCCCCUCCAUGCUACCUCCGCCUUAGAUGGAGGGUGGUGAUUAAAUAUUCAUGUUGUGUCCAAUCAGAGAGCUCGUCUGACGGUCUUUCUACACAGGGCAGGAAGUGGAAUUGGAUUCUAGCGAGGGGGGACCCUGCAGGUUGGCAUGAGGGGUCAAUUGAAAGGGGAGUUCAGCAGUACCAGAAUCUAUUUGAUGUCCUCUUAUGUCCCCAACCACCCUUCCCUCAUUCAUACAAUAGGAGACAUCUAACACAGUAAGGAAUACCGGCCGACUUGCUUUUAUAUGGAUAUCAUGCUCGUUUAUCAGUGUUGUAGAAUGCAGAACAAUAUUUGGUUACAAACUGGGUGUUUUUCAGUUACUAACUCCAACAGACAUCAUUCAAUGCACUUUCAAUGAACACAUAGACCCACACAUUCUGUCAGUCACUCACGCGCACGCACGCACACACACACAGGAACACACAUGCUUUUAUUAAACACACAGAAACACAGGCACCUGUGUUGAGUUGUACAGCGAAGGCAACAAAAUGCACAACUUUUGUUCAUCUCAAGGAUUUUCGGACUGCCCCGAUGAACCGAGAGCCCAUAUUGAUUUUUCUCCUUGCCAUGCAGUGACUGUGAUUACCCAUUUUCUCAUUCAUUUUUAAAGACAACUCGUGUGAUUCUUCCCCUUUUCUCAUCUCUCUAUCACUCCUAUUUUCUAAAGAGUGAUUGUACACUCCCCUUCCAUGGCAGAAUCCCUCUUUGACCCUGAGAAUUAAAUUAUUCUAUAGAUCACAGCUGUUGAAUAUUAGGCCUUACAAAAGCGGUUAAAUAAAAUAUGUUCAAAUUGUCCAAUCCCAGAGGCCACGGCAGAAAUUAUAAUCAGGUGAGAGAAAGGGAAAGGAGUCAGUGGGGAUUAUGAAUAAAGGGUAUCUUUGGAAUCUUACUGGCCAAGUCUUGAGGGAGAGAAAGAAAAAGAGAGGACCAAACCUUAAUCUCACUCAUCAACAAUACACUGGAAGGUUCUAGAUAACAGCGGGUGGUGGUGGGUUAAAGCUUUUUUCCAAAGAAUAAGGAUAUUGAGGGUUUUUCGAAAUAAUAAUGAUAUUGAGUGCCUUCAGGAAGUAUAUUGACACCCCUUGACUUUUUUCACAUUUUGUUGUUACAAAGUGGAUUUAAAAUGGAUUUAAUUGUAAUGUCAAUGUCAAAUAAAAAAUUCAACUUGAUUAAAUAAGUAUCCAACCCCCUAAGUCAAUACAAGCUAGAAUCACAUUUUGGCAGCAAUUACAGCUGUGAGUCUUUUUGAGAAGUGUAAUUGUGACCCGCAAUUCGGGGCUUUCCUGAAUGUGGACAUUCCUGCAUCUGCAGGAAACCUUCUUUAUACUCCUAUUGGCCCAUUUUUUAUUUAGGACAGGCUGGAAGCGGGGAUGCUCCAGUACAGUAGGUGGUUUUAAUGCAC
ensembl:lncRNA